ensembl:lncRNA
UGGGUAGACGCGUUUUUUCCUUUUGCAGAAGAGCCAUUUUCAUUGCUUCCAUACUGGAUUGAUUUCUGGCCUCUGUGAUUUCAGCAGCCCAAGGAGGUCUUCUCCCCUGAGGAACAGUACUGUAAUUAUCCAGAUUCCAGAUGAAUGAAGAGGCUGAGGGACGUUUGUAGAACGGGUGGGGCAGAAGAUCCUGUUCUAUCAACCACAAAAGCUCUGGGGUGAGCAGGGUUGGGGUGCUGAGCCCACAACCACAUGAGAUGAAGAUUCCGAAGGACAGGACCUUUCAGCAAGCAAACCGCAGACAAGGCUCAAAGAUCUCUUUGACCCCUGUGUGGACAACAGAUCAGAAGAAGCAGAGAGCCUGGCUGGGAGGCGACUGCAAGGCCAUUUCCAGAUCAGGAUUUGGACACAGGCAUGUGGUUGACUCUGAGUUAUCGCCUGCUUAACUUGUCUGAGGUGCAGCAACCUCUUCUAUCAACCUGGGUAGAAGGAGGUGACCCCCGAGAAGAUGUGCCUAGCUGCUCAGUGUGCACCAGCCCAGCACCAGGACAGCCAGACAGGAAAACAACCGAAGAACUAAGCCAAGGGGAGUGAGACGCCCAUGCCCAAAUGAGCUCCCAGGCCCUGAGUAAGUGCCAUUUAACUGCUCAUUUUAUAGGCUUUUUCAUUACCCUCAAUAACACACA